UACGGAGGGUGCAAGCGUUAUCCGGAUUCACUGGGUUUAAAGGGUGCGUAGGAGGGCAGGUAAGUCAGUGGUGAAAUCUCCAAGCUUAACUUGGAACUGCCGUUGAUACUAUCUGUCUUGAAUAUUGUGGAGGUGAGCGGAAUAUGUCAUGUAGCGGUGAAAUGACUUAGAUAUGACAUAGAACACCAAUUGCGAAAGGCAGCUCGCUACACAUAUAUUGACUCUGAGGCACGAAAGCGUGGGGAUCAAACAGG
rnacentral:rRNA from 1 species